GACGAACGCUGGCGGCGUGCCUAAUACAUGCAAGUAGAACGCUGAAGGAGGAGCUUGCUUCUCUGGAUGAGUUGCGAACGGGUGAGUAACGCGUAGGUAACCUGCCUGGUAGCGGGGGAUAACUAUUGGAAACGAUAGCUAAUACCGCAUAAUAGUAGAUGUUGCAUGACAUUUGCUUAAAAGGUGCAAUUGCAUCACUACCAGAUGGACCUGCGUUGUAUUAGCUAGUUGGUGAGGUAACGGCUCACCAAGGCGACGAUACAUAGCCGACCUGAGAGGGUGAUCGGCCACACUGGGACGGGGACACGGCCCAGACUCCUGAGGGAGGCAGCAGUAGGGAACCUUAGGCAACGGACGGAAGUCUGACAGAGCAAGGCGGCGUGAGAGAAGAAGGUUUUCGGUGCGUAAAGACCUGUUGUAAGAGAAGAACGAGUGUGAGAGUGGAAAGUUCACGCUGUGACGGUAUCUUACCAGAAAGGAACGGCUAACUACGUG
rnacentral:rRNA from 1 species